rnacentral:rRNA from 1 species
UACGAAGGGGGCUAGCGUUGUUCGGAAUUACUGGGCGUAAAGCGCGCGCAGGCGGUUCUUUAAGUCAGGGGUGAAAUCCUGGAGCUCAACUCCAGAACUGCCUUUGAUACUGAAGAUCUUGAGUUCGGGAGAGGUGAGUGGAACUGCGAGUGUAGAGGUGAAAUUCGUAGAUAUUCGCAAGAACACCAGUGGCGAAGGCGGCUCACUGGCCCGAUACUGACGCUGAGGCACGAAAGCGUGGGGAGCAAACAGG